AGUCGAGCGGGGGAAGGUAGCUUGCUACCGGACCUAGCGGCGGACGGGUGAGUAAUGCUUAGGAAUCUGCCUAUUAGUGGGGGACAACAUCUCGAAAGGGAUGCUAAUACCGCAUACGUCCUACGGGAGAAAGCAGGGGAUCUUCGGACCUUGCGCUAAUAGAUGAGCCUAAGUCGGAUUAGCUAGUUGGUGGGGUAAAGGCCUACCAAGGCGACGAUCUGUAGCGGGUCUGAGAGGAUGAUCCGCCACACUGGGACUGAGACACGGCCCAGACUCCUACGGGAGGCAGCAGUGGGGAAU
rnacentral:rRNA from 1 species